GAUGAACGCUAGCGGCAGGCCUAACACAUGCAAGUCGAGGGGGAAGUUACUUUCGGGUGACUGAGACCGGCGUACGGGUGCGUAACGCGUAUACAAUCUGCCUUUCACUGGGGGAUAGCCCGAAGAAAUUUGGAUUAAUACCCCAUAGUAUAUAGGGACGGCAUCGUUUUUAUAUAAAAGCUUAGGUGGUGAAAGAUGAGUAUGCGUUCUAUUAGCUAGUUGGAGAGGUAACGGCUCCCCAAGGCGAUGAUAGAUAGGGGUUCUGAGAGGGAUGUCCCCCACACUGGUACUGAGAUACGGACCAGACUCCUACGGGAGGCAGCAGUGAGGAAUAUUGGACAAUGGUCGGAAGACUGAUCCAGCCAUGCCGCGUGCAGGAUGAAGGUCUUAUGGAUUGUAAACUGCUUUUGUAAGGGAAGAAUAAGGGCUACGCGUAGUUUGAUGACGGUACCUUACGAAUAGGCAUCGGCUAACUCCGUG
rnacentral:rRNA from 1 species